UAUUAAUGGAGAGAGGGCUCUGGGUAGGUGGCCAGGGGCCUUCUCUUCUCGGGACAUCCCCUUAGCUAAGAAUGCAGAUGAGAAGCCCAAGUUCCAGCCAGACCUACCAGAUGAGUGACUUAGUGGGAAAUCUAGACUCUUCCACCAGCUUUCGGGGAGGGCUCUGAGCUGAGGGUGUUUUCCUUUAACGAAAUGAACUGACUCAGCGGGCCCCUAUCCAGCCCCAAGGAAUCUACUUGAUGGUUUAAAACAGUGUUAAAGAGGCUGGAAGGUUAUCUUGGGAUCGCCAAUCCCUGGUCCUUGGCAGUUGCUCACAGACAGGCCUCACGCUGCAGCACAAACUAGCCAUCCGAGGUAGAGGGUUGCGUCGCUUUAGCACCGUCACGGGGUACGUCCACCCUCCCACCCGUUUAUCUGGCAGUCUCCACAUGGUCUCUGUUCUCACCGCCUCAGAGCUGCAGGGAAGACAUGAGGGAGUGGGCAGCGGUGUACAGUAUGGUCUAGGCUGUGAUCAGACACAAGGCGGCAGAGGAGGUGCCUGACUCAGCUAUGACGAGGCAGAGCAGGCUUCUGGCAGGAAGUGAUGGGGGAGGAGAAGAGGGAGUCCUAGGCCGAGAGAAGCCAACACGCAAAAGCUGGAGAGUGGCUGCAACGCACGGGAACAGUGUUCUAUUCAGGGGGGAUACCUGCUCAGAAAGAAAUGGUGGAAGAGCAAAGGUGGGGCUGCCAGAUGGGGACCUGAAGGGCAGCUAAGCUGGGGCACCGAGGCACAAUGGGUCGUCGACCAAGGCGAAGUGAAGGCCCCAGCCGGUCCAGGGAAUGCUAUUGGAGGCUGUUGACGAUGACCUACUGAGGGUACACAUCCCUGAAUUCUGACUUCCCAUCUAAAGAAAAGAGCCCAGCCUCUUUGGAGAGGGCCCUAGAAGCCUCUGUAGCCUCUGAGGAAAGCACAGGGUGGGGUGGGGGUGGGGUGUCAGGGUUAGGGCAGUCUUGUUGAUCUUGUCCUUUUCAAAAGCAGCAACAUCGAUGGCUGAGAUGGAGAAGACACGUUUGUUUGUUUUGUUUUUGUUUAAGGAGACCCUGACAUAACUCUUGUGGUGUUCGUGGUGAAUGCCAAAGGAGAGACAGAGGGAAGGAAGCAGGGCUGGAAACAAGAAGAACUUGCAGUGUUGCCACAGAGAGGACCUUAAGGACAGAGGCCGAUGGUCUUCUCCACCAUGUGCUUUUGUGGCUUCUCCAGAAGCAAGGUAGAUGGGCAGGGAAAUGGGAGGAGACAUGAGGACAGGUCUGGACCCCCUGACUCUGAAUUACAGUCGGAGCUCCACACUAGCAAACAACACCACAAGCAAGAUUUCCAACACAACCGGCAAUGGCUUAAAGCCUUUUUCCCCUUUCCUAGCUGUAAAGCUCUAAAUUUUCUAGCAAUAUCACCAGAAAAACUUUCACAUGGAAAGGACACAUACCAAUGCCCUGUGUACCCCCAGGGGCCCCUGGUUUCAUCUGAUCAGUCCAACUUCAUUCAAGGCAUAUAUAGAUAACACAUAUACCAUGACUCUUCUUUGAGAAGCUCAAACCGGAGCUUCCGGGUGUGUCUCACUUUCUGAGCACACCUCUUCCUCUGAACCCUCUGGCUUUGCCUGGGUUAAGGUAUCUCUAUUAAGUCUAUUAAGUCUAUUAAGUGGCUAGUCCCGAAAUUCUUUUCCACACUGAAGUCCUGGUUUGGCCUGAGUGGAGGUCCUUAAAAGAUCCAGGGGAACUCUAAGGCUGCUGAAGGUGGUGAUAGUGGCUUGCUGUGUCUCUGUCCCCUCACCUCUGAUACCCCAGGGUCACCAAGACCUGUCCUUCAGCCACAGAGCAAUUCUUGGAUCCUACAAGCACAUAUGUGAGGGAGGCUCAGAAUUCUGCUGCUAAGUGAUGCAGCAGGCACCAUUUAGCUUGAGGGCACAGCCAAGGCGAGGCGCUAACAGCUCAUUCAGGAAGCACGUGAGGGUGAGAGGUGUUACGUGGGUCUUCUACAAUCCAAGGCAUAUGACCUUGUUGGCUUUGAAGCCCUAAGAAAAGGUCCAGCCCCGGUAGGUAAUGGGCCAUCUGCCCCCACCCACCUGCCUCAGUUGUCCUACUUUAGGGUGGGGCCACACAGGACAUAAGAUGCCAGAUGUGUCCACACCUACCCAGGGAGGAGAACCUCGAGGCAGAGGAAGAGGAGGAGAGAAGACCUGUGGGCCCAGGAAAUGGAAAUCUUACAAGUCAUACUCUGCCCUCUGCCUGACCUGCAGCAAGGACACCAGGAACACGUAUGCCCAAAUCCCCAACUAGUCUGCUGGUUAAAGGAAGGUCCUGUACCCAGACAUGGCCAGGCUUAAAAGAUGGCAGAGUAGCAGCUGAGUAGGGGUGAGGUGAAGGUUUACCCCAGAAAACCUCCUCCUAUCAGCUGAGAGGUAUGGUGACCACCACUGAAAUUCUCUGCCUGCUAAGCAGGAUGUCAGAGGUUAGAUGGCUUUGUGAGGCCUCAGCUCUGGAAACAGAACGGAGGGGCUGCUACUUCUGAAGCCAUGGUGGUCUUGCCAGCCUGGAUGGUUCCUAUCUGAUACCCCUAAUUCCCAUGUUGAUAAAGUAUGCUCGUUCCACUGACCUGAGGACAUCCUGUCUAGCCUCUAAGUACUUCCCUAUCUGAUCUCACUGGCUGGCCCACAUCCUACCUUGCUGCUCUCUCUGUCUCAUCUCUGAUUGUCCUACCGUAUAGCCUCAGACUGAGCUUUUACUGUUCAGUUUCUGGUUGACCUUAAUGUCGACUGGCCUUUCUGUCAUUCCUCAGAACCUACUGUCAGUGUUCACACUGCUCUGCAGCUAGAGCUAAGGUAGGAAUAGGUGGGCAGGUAGAUCUCUCGGGGGAGGGAGUGUCAAAGUCCCAACAGUUCAAUGGAGUGGGAGAAAUGGGGCUGAUAGUAAGCCCAGUCCUACCUACUCCUUCCAGAUCCAUAGGUGGGACAGAUAGUGCUGUGAGCCAGUUAGUAGGGUUUGCCUAUUCAACCAAAGGUUGCUUUGUCUUCCCCCUGCCUCCCCUCCCCAUGGUGGCCUCCGAUCACUGGGUUGGUUCCUGGCUCCAAAGGGUUCCGAUCUGGAUUUGCUUAUCCCAGGUUCUGAAAACUGAGAUUCUGAUUGUUGUUGGUUUGAAGCCUCAACAGUCAGCCAGCUUGGAAUGUAAGCCUGAUCGGGCAGAACAUGAGCCAGAGUCAGCCACUCCUAACCUUUCACAUAAAUCCUCUACCUGAAUGCUCAGUC